rnacentral:tRNA from 1 species
GGGAUUGUGGCUCAGUGGUAGAGCGCUUGCCUAGCAUGUAUGAGGCACUGGGUUCUAUUCUCAGCACCA